rnacentral:tRNA from 1 species
UUAGAAAAGUGGGAAUCGAACCCACACCUGAGAGAUCAAAACCCCCUGUAAUUCCAUUUUACCACUUUCUA